rnacentral:rRNA from 1 species
AUUGAACGCUGGCGGCAUGCUUUACACAUGCAAGUCGAACGGUAACAGCACUUCGGUGGCUGACGAGUGGCGAACGGGUGAGUAAUACAUCGGAACGUGCCUAGUAGUGGGGGAUAACUACUCGAAAGAGUAGCUAAUACCGCAUGAGAUCUAAGGAUGAAAGCAGGGGACCUUCGGGCCUUGCGCUACUAGAGCGGCUGAUGGCAGAUUAGGUAGUUGGUGGGAUAAAAGCUUACCAAGCCGACGAUCUGUAGCUGGUCUGAGAGGACGACCAGCCACACUGGGACUGAGACACGGCCCAGACUCCUACGGGAGGCAGCAGUGGGGAAUUUUGGACAAUGGGCGCAAGCCUGAUCCAGCAAUGCCGCGUGCAGGAUGAAGGCCUUCGGGUUGUAAACUGCUUUUGUACGGAACGAAAAGCCCUCUUCUAAUACAGGAGGGUCAUGAAGGUACCGUAAGAAUAAGCACCGGCUAACUACGU